rnacentral:rRNA from 1 species
AACGAACGCUGGCGGCAGGCCUAACACAUGCAAGUCGAACGGACGUAGCAAUACGUUAGUGGCGCACGGGAGAGUAACGCGUGGGAACCUACCUUUUGGUUCGGGAUAACAUCGGGAAACUGGUGCUAAUACCGGAUAAGCCCUUCGGGGGAAAGAUUUAUUGCCGAAAGAUGGGCCCGCGUUGGAUUAGCUAGUUGGUGAGGUAAUGGCUCACCAAGGCAACGAUCCAUAGCUGGUAUGUGAGGAUGAUCAGCCUCACUGGGACUGAGACACGGCCCAGACUCCUACGGGAGGCAGCAGUGGGGAAUAUUGGACAAUGGGGGAAACCCUGAUCCAGCCAUGCCGCGUGAAUGAUGAAGGCCUUCGGGUUGUAAAGUUCUUUUGGUGGGGACGAUGAUGACGGUACCCACAGAAUAAGCUCCGGCUAACUUCGUGCCAGCCGCCGCCGUAACAC